rnacentral:misc_RNA from 1 species
GAUGAAGAACGCAGCGAAAUGCGAUAAGUAAUGUGAAUUGCAGAUCUCAGUGAAUCAUCGAAUCUUUAAACGCACCUUGCGCCCCUUGGUAUUCCGAGGGGCAUGCCUGUUUGAGUGUCAUUAAAUUCUCAACUUCAAUUCAAGUGUUUUUCUCUUGCUUUGAAGCUUGGACUUGGAGUGUGCUGGCAUGUCCAAUGGAAGUCAGCUCCUCUCUAAAUGUAUUAGCGAAACCUCUCUUUGCAGAUCAGCUUUGGUGUGAUAGUUUUAUCUACGCCAUUGAUGUGAGGCAAGAAAUUUGUAUGGCAACAUACAACGGGGAUUUUUGCUUCCAAUCUGGUCUUUGUUUCUCUUUUUGAAGAGAACAAGACUUUUUUUUGACAAUUUGACCUCAAAUCAGGUAGGAUUACCCGCUGAACUUAAGCAUAUCAAUAAGCGGAGGA